AGUGAACGCUGGCGGUAGGCCUAACAUAUGCAAGUCGAACGGCAGCACAGUAAGAGCUGGCUCUUACGGGUGGCGAGUGGCGGACGGGUGAGGAAUACAUCGGAAUCUACUUUUUCGUGGGGGAUAACGUAGGGAAACUUACGCUAAUACCGCAUACGACCUACGGGUGAAAGCAGGGGAUCUUCGGACCUUGCGCGAUUGAAUGAGCCGAUGUCGGAUUAGCUAGUUGGCGGGGUAAAGGCCCACCAAGGCGACGAUCCGUAGCUGGUCUGAGAGGAUGCACAGCCACACUGGAACUGAGACACGGUCCAGACUCCUACGGGAGGCAGCAGUGGGGAAUAUUGGACAAUGGGCGCAAGCCUGAUCCAGCCAUACCGCGUGGGUGAAGAAGGCCUUCGGGUUGUAAAGCCCUUUUGUUGGGAAAGAAAAGCAGCAGGUUAAUACCCCGCUGUUCUGACGGUACCCAAAGAAUAAGCACCGGCUACCUUCGUG
rnacentral:rRNA from 1 species